GAAGGAACUCAACGCAGAGGAAAGCAAAAUGGAGACAUGGAGGGAGACGCCAAGUUCCAGUGACAUUAAGCCCCUGAAUCCCACCAUGGCUGAACUUGCAUUACUGAAGCCCUCCUGAGUUGAAUUUCUGCCUCUUGCAAAUGAAAGAGGCCUGAUGAAUACCCACAUAGUUCAAUUUCAAUAUACGAAGUUCUUCAGACGACGGUCCCUGAGUUACUGAAGCCACUUCACCUGUUUGGGCAGACAGCUGGGAGUGCCCAGAGCUGACACCCUCCAGGUGACCCACAGGUAACGGCUGACCCACGCUGGAGUGUAGGAGCCUUGCUUCAAGACCACACAGACUUUGAGGUUGGCUGAUUGUGGAGGCUAAAGCAACUCUACCUUGCCA
rnacentral:lncRNA from 1 species